GCUUAUUUGCUCCACCACCAUGGGGUAAUGACCUGUCCUGCUGAAGAUCUCUCAUUUUACUCUAUGUACUGUGUUACUAACCACCAAGUCUUGCCUUCAUGAAUCAUGAUGUCUAAUACUUGCUUUCAGAUAUUAAGAAUAUGGGCAGGAAGCAUCAUUAUAUGAGUACAAUAGUAACUUAAUAGGUCAAUGAUGAUAGCUGAAGGGAUGAGAACAUUAUUGUUGCUAGCAUACUUUAGAUAGAUUUGUCUUGUUCACUGAAACCACAAGUAGCCAACCACAGUAGUUUCUUUUGCUUUAUUCCAGGUCUAUUAUAUUGAUAUGGACUUGUAAUUCAUUCACAGGUGAUGAUGUGCCACCAUCAGCAUUUUGCAUGGCUAAUGUGGGAGAAUGGGACAAAUUUAGGAAUAUAGACAUGGAUAAAGAGGUCAUUUUGCUUCCCUUAUUCAUGAAAGCUUUUUCAAUCUUUUAAAAAGUUUCUGUAAUUGAAGAAGAUAUCCUGAACCAAUUUUCAAUAUUGGGAAAUUAUCUCUAAAGGUAAGUUUAUAAAGAGAAAAUUGUAUUUCUUUGCAUGCCUCUGCUUUAUUUGCAGCAGUACUUAUGUAUCUCUUAAUGUCAUUUAUGUUGUAAGUUAAAUUUACUGUUUAUAAGCUAAUCUGGAUUUUAGUGUUGGAUUGGCAUGUCUGUGGCAACAUGCUUAUGCUAUUUGCCUCUUCCUCUGUGUUAGGCUAAUAUUAUUGGUGUCAUUAAUAAUUCAUCUACAAAGAAGAAAUUUCACGCCGAUGGUGAUAAGAUGGCUGUCUUGAAUGCAUGGCAAAGAAUUGAUUGUAGAACAAGGGAGGCUCUACGACGUAGCUUUCUUUCAGAGCUUAUUGCAGGCUAUGAGGUACAUGAUUUUGCUUUUGCUUCUGCCAGAAUGAUUAUUAUUAUAGGGGUCUUCACUCGACCUUUUGCUUUUGAUUUGCUUACAAUACUUUAGCUACCACCUCAUUUGCUUUUCCAACGUGCAAGGGAACUGGGGAGGACUGGGCUUGUUUAAUGUUAGCAUGUAUUAUAGAUCCCAGGUUGAUAUUUAUGCUAUAAUCAAAGGCCUAAGUUUUGGUUGAAAAGGCUUAGUGCGGUUAUUCCAGGCUCCAGAUGUGUCUCGUGAGAGUUGGGUUGUAUAUGCUUGAAAGGCUUUAAAGCAGAUUUUUGGUUGAAAAUUUUUUGCCCUUGACUACUAAAUAAGUAAACAACUAAUGUAUGAGAGGGAAAUAUAGUUUGACAUAAGACCAACCUGAGUUAGAAUAGUCUCCAGGCUUUGGCUUUGGUGAAAUUGUGAAAGGCUGAGCUGGCUCGAUAUCCAACUUUGUAUAUUUUUAUGUAUCUCCAUAACCUUGUUUAAGUACCUAAUUUUUUACUCUUAUGUGGAAUAAACUUCCUUUUCACUUUCAGGAUAGCAUACGGACAUUCAUAAAGGAAAGUGGGGAUGGAGAUGACCUCUCAUUACAGGUCCAAGAUCCUUUCCAUAGAUUGUUGCUGCAUGGUGUCUGUGAGGUAAUCCUUUGCAUCCAUUUUCUUUUUCUUUCAAAUGUAGAGGCUUCAUUAAACACUAGCUAAGCAAUUAGGCUUUGCAAAAUGCUGUCCAAACUUGAUGUUGGGCUAUUUCUAUUAAUAUGGAAAAUAUUGUUUAGAAAAGAGCUCUGCUAUUUGAUUCUUGUAUUAUCUGCUUUAGCAACUCCUUAUGAUGGUUAAACUUAAGUAUGCUCUAACCAGUGCAUUUUUAUUGAAGAUUUCUUGCGUGGUGGAAGUGUACUAACCCUUUCCUUGAACAGUUUUACAACUUGAUCUCAGUAACGGUUACGCAGACGAAGGAUGCAGAGUCACUGAAGGUAACAAGGAUAAAGAAAAAGAAGACAGGUGUAGUUGAUCUCCCAAAUAUCACAUUGUCCCAUUUCCUGAAAAUGUCAAAGGAGGGCAUUUGGUAGUUCUACUGCCAGGAGUUCUCAAUUCAUGUUCAUAAAUAAAGAAGUUGUGUACAAUGCUGCAUUCUAACUUAAUGUAUCUUGAUGAUGAAGUAAUAUUGGCAUUAGUCAUCACCUGUAAAUGUAAUUUUAGACCUAUAGCUUUGUAAAGCUGGGGUGGCUGAAUUCAUAAUUUCUUCCAGUCAACAUAACAUGUUGACUGCAGGUUUAGGGUUUAGUUAAGACAUGAUUCUUCAACAUUGUUGUACUUUGUAAUGGCUAAUAGGCAUGAUUCUUCAACAUUGUUGUUGUAUUGUUGUUGUACUUUAUAAUGGCUAAUAGACAUGAUGCUUCAACAUUGUUGUUGUUAGAGAUGUAAAUGAUACAUUAGUACUCGUAAGUUAUUCGGUUUUAAUUUAGAUAAAACUUGAAUUCGGUUUGGUUAUUAUUUAG
rnacentral:lncRNA from 1 species